CAUGGCCAAUUCCCAAUUAAAUAUCUGGGAAUAUCGGUUCAUUAUCGACGGCUCACUAUUGCGGAGUGGAGGCAUGUGGAGGAGCGUCUAGAGAAACGGUUGAGCAGUUGGAAAGGAAAGCUGCUCUCAGUUGGAGGACGACUGGUUUUGAUUAACUCCGUCCUCACAAAUAUGGUUCUCUAUAUGCUUUCUUUCUUCCAACUCCCAAAAAGGGUCUUGCAAAGACUGGACUAUUUUAGAUCCAGAUUUUUUUGGCAAGGAGAUGGUGAAAAGAAAAAAUACAGGCUGACCAAAUGGAGCGUGGUUCGUAGGCCGGUAUGUGCUGGAGGAGGAUGA
rnacentral:rRNA from 1 species